rnacentral:rRNA from 1 species
AGAGCGAACGCUGGCGGCAGGCUUAACACAUGCAAGUCGAGCGGGCGUAGCAAUACGUCAGCGGCAGACGGGUGAGUAACGCGUGGGAACGUACCUUUUGGUUCGGAACAACACAGGGAAACUUGUGCUAAUACCGGAUAAGCCCUUACGGGGAAAGAUUUAUCGCCGAAAGAUCGGCCCGCGUCUGAUUAGCUAGUUGGUGAGGUAACGGCUCACCAAGGCGACGAUCAGUAGCUGGUCUGAGAGGAUGAUCAGCCACAUUGGGACUGAGACACGGCCCAAACUCCUACGGGAGGCAGCAGUGGGAAUAUUGGACAAUGGGCGCAAGGCCUGAUCCAGCCAUGCCGCGUGAGUGAUGAAGGCCCUAGGGUUGUAAAGCUCUUUUGUGCGGGAAGAUAAUGACGGUACCGCAAGAAUAAGCCCCGGCUAACUUCGUGCCAGCAGCCGC